rnacentral:rRNA from 1 species
UACGUAGGGUGCGAGCGUUGUCCGGAAUUAUUGGGCGUAAAGAGCUUGUAGGCGGUUUGUCGCGUCUGCCGUGAAAUUUCGAGGCUCAACCUCGAACUUGCGGUGGGUACGGGCAGACUAGAGUGUGGUAGGGGAGACUGGAAUUCCUGGUGUAGCAGUGAAAUGCGUAGAGAUGUGGAGGAAUACCGAUGGCGAAGGCAGCC